rnacentral:rRNA from 1 species
UACGAAGGGGGGCUAGCGUUGCUCGGAAUCACUGGGGCGUAAAAGGGUGCGUAGGCGGGUCUUUUAAGUCAGGGGGUGAAAUCCUGGAGCUCAACUCCAGAACUGCCUUUGAUACUGGCGUGCUUGAGGACUGGAGAGGAGACUGGAAUUCAUGGUGUAGCAGUGAAAUGCGUAGAGAUCAUGAGGAAGACCGUGGCGAAGGCGGGGUCUCUGGACAUUCCUGACACUGAGACACGAAGGCCAGGGGAGCAAAACGGGG